UACGUAGGGUGCAGGCGUUAAUCGGAAUUACUGGGCGUAAAGCGUGCGCAGGCGGUUUCUUAAGUCAGAUGUGAAAGCCCCGGGCUUAACCUUGGAACUGCGUUUGAAACUGGGAGACUUGAGUGUGGCAGAGGGGGGUGGAAUUCCACGUGUAGCAGUGAAAUGCGUAGAUAUGUGGAGGAACACCGAUGGCGAAGGCAGCCCCCUGGGCUAACACUGACGCUCAUGCACGAAAGCGUGGGGAGCAAACAGG
rnacentral:rRNA from 1 species